ensembl:rRNA 5S_rRNA 5S ribosomal RNA
GCUUACGGCCACACCUCCCUGAGCAUGCCCAAUCUCGUCUGAACUCGGAAGCUAAGCAGGGUUGGGCCCGGUUAGUACUUGGAUGGGAGACCGCCUGGGAAUACCAGGUGCUGUAAGCC